rnacentral:ncRNA from 1 species
CAAGGUAAAGCCAAACUUGUCGUAAGGCAGGGACGGGAAGCUACGGGUCUCAACUGAUAGCCGAGCUACCUUGG